ACUCCUGUUCUUGGCAGGCCCCGGCUGCCCCAUGCCUGGGUCUGUGAUGUCCGGAGGUAGAGCAGCGACUCUUUCAAGGGCACUCCUUUGCCGUGGGGAAGGGUCUUGCGUGCCCUUGUGAGGUUG
rnacentral:snoRNA from 1 species